AGUGAACGCUGGCGGUAGGCCUAACACAUGCAAGUCGAACGGCAGCACAGUAAGAGCUUGCUCUUACGGGUGGCGAGUGGCGGACGGGUGGGGAAUACAUCGGAAUCUACUUUUUCGUGGGGGAUAACGUAGGGAAACUUACGCUAAUACCGCAUACGACCUACGGGUGAAAGCAGGGGAUCUUCGGACCUUGCGCGAUUGAAUGAGCCGAUGUCGGAUUAGCUAGUUGGCGGGGUAAAGGCCCACCAAGGCGACGAUCCGUAGCUGGUCUGAGAGGAUGAUCAGCCACACUGGAACUGAGACACGGUCCAGACUCCUACGGGAGGCAGCAGUGGGGAAUAUUGGACAAUGGGCGCAAGCCAGAUCCAGCCAUACCGCGUGGGUGAAGAAGGCCUUCGGGUUGUAAAGCCCUUUUGUUGGGAAAGAAAAGCAGCAGGUUAAUACCCCGCUGUUCUGACGGUACCCAAAGAAUAAGCACCGGCUAACUUCGUG
rnacentral:rRNA from 1 species